GCACAAGCGGUGGAGCAUGUGGUUCAAUUCGAAGCAACGCGAAGAACCUUACCAGCCCUUGACAUCCCGGUCGCGGGAACGAGAGAUCGAUCCCUUCAGUUCGGCUGGACCGGAGACAGGUGCUGCAUGGCUGUCGUCAGCUCGUGUCGUGAGAUGUUGGGUUAAGUCCCGCAACGAGCGCAACCCUCGCCCUUAGUUGCCAUCAUUCAGUUGGGCACUCUAAGGGGACUGCCGGUGAUAAGCCGCGAGGAAGGUGGGGAUGACGUCAAGUCCUCAUGGCCCUUACGGGCUGGGCUACACACGUGCUACAAUGGCGGUGACAAUGGGAUGCAAUGGGGUAACCCUGCGCAAAUCUCAAAAAGCCGUCUCAGUUCGGAUUGUGCUCUGCAACUCGAGCACAUGAAGUUGGAAUCGCUAGUAAUCGCAGAUCAGCACGCUGCGGUGAAUACGUUCCCGGGC
rnacentral:rRNA from 1 species